AUACGUAGGGUGCAAGCGUUAAUCGGAAUUACUGGGCGUAAAGCGUGCGCAGGCGGUUUUGUAAGACAGUGGCGAAAUCCCCGGGCUCAACCUGGGAACUGCCAUUGUGACUGCAAGGCUGGAGUGCGGCAGAGGGGGAUGGAAUUCCGCGUGUAGCAGUGAAAUGCGUAGAUAUGCGGAGGAACACCGAUGGCGAAGGCAAUCCCCUGGGCCUGCACUGACGCUCAUGCACGAAAGCGUGGGGAGCAAACAGGAUUAGAUACCCUGGUAGUCCACGCCCUAAACGAUGUCAACUGGUUGUUGGGGAUUUAUUUUCUCAGUAACGAAGCUAACGCGUGAAGUUGACCGCCUGGGGAGUACGGCCGCAAGGUUAAAACUCAAAUGAAUUGACGGGG
rnacentral:rRNA from 1 species